rnacentral:rRNA from 1 species
UAGCCGUAAACGAUACUCGCUAGGUGUCGGCCACGGUGCGACCGUUGUCGGUGCCGUAGGGAAGCCGUGAAGCGAGCCACCUGGGAAGUACGGCCGCAAGGCUGAAACUUAAAGGAAUUGGCGGGGGAGCACCACAACGGGUGGAGCUUGCGGUUUAAUUGGAUUCAACGCCGGGAAGCUUACCGGAUAAGACAGCGGAAUGAUUGCCGGGCUGAAGACCCUGCAUGACCAGCUGAGAGGUGGUGCAUGGCGUAGUCGUG